rnacentral:rRNA from 1 species
UUAAGUUAUUAAGGGCGCACGGUGGAUGCCUUGGCACUAGAAGCCGAUGAAGGACGUUACUAACGACGAUAUGCUUUGGGGAGCUGUAAGUAAGCUUUGAUCCAGAGAUUUCCGAAUGGGGAAACCCAGCAUGAGUUAUGUCAUGUUAUCGAUAUGUGAAUACAUAGCAUAUCAGAAGGCACACCCGGAGAACUGAAACAUCUUAGUACCCGGAGGAAGAGAAAGAAAAUUCGAUUCCCUUAGUAGCGGCGAGCGAAACGGGAAGAGCCCAAACCAACAAGCUUGCUUGUUGGGGUUGUAGGACACUCUAUACGGAGUUACAAAGGACGACAUUAGACGAAUCAUCUGGAAAGAUGAAUCAAAGAAGGUAAUAAUCCUGUAGUCGAAAAUGUUGUCUCUCUUGAGUGGAUCCUGAGUACGACGGAGCACGUGAAAUUCCGUCGGAAUCUGGGAGGACCAUCUCCUAAGGCUAAAUACUCUCUAGUGACCGAUAGUGAACCAGUACCGUGAGGGAAAGGUGAAAAGCACCCCGGAAGGGGAGUGAAAUAGAACCUGAAACCGUGUGCUUACAAGUAGUCAGAGCCCGUUAAUGGGUGAUGGCGUGCCUUUUGUAGAAUGAACCGGCGAGUUACGAUUUGAUGCAAGGUUAAGCAGUAAAUGUGGAGCCGUAGCGAAAGCGAGUCUGAAUAGGGCGUUUAGUAUUUGGUCGUAGACCCGAAACCAGGUGAUCUACCCUUGGUCAGGUUGAAGUUCAGGUAACACUGAAUGGAGGACCGAACCGACUUACGUUGAAAAGUGAGCGGAUGAACUGAGGGUAGCGGAGAAAUUCCAAUCGAACCUGGAGAUAGCUGGUUCUCUCCGAAAUAGCUUUAGGGCUAGCCUCAAGUGAUGAUUAUUGGAGGUAGAGCACUGUUUGGACGAGGGGCCCCUCUCGGGUUACCGAAUUCAGACAAACUCCGAAUGCCAAUUAAUUUAACUUGGGAGUCAGAACAUGGGUGAUAAGGUCCGUGUUCGAAAGGGAAACAGCCCAGACCACCAGCUAAGGUCCCAAAAUAUAUGUUAAGUGGAAAAGGAUGUGGCGUUGCCCAGACAACUAGGAUGUUGGCUUAGAAGCAGCCAUCAUUUAAAGAGUGCGUAAUAGCUCACUAGUCGAGUGACACUGCGCCGAAAAUGUACCGGGGCUAAACAUAUUACCGAAGCUGUGGAUUGUCCUUUGGACAAUGGUAGGAGAGCGUUCUAAGGGCGUUGAAGCAUGAUCGUAAGGACAUGUGGAGCGCUUAGAAGUGAGAAUGCCGGUGUGAGUAGCGAAAGACGGGUGAGAAUCCCGUCCACCGAUUGACUAAGGUUUCCAGAGGAAGGCUCGUCCGCUCUGGGUUAGUCGGGUCCUAAGCUGAGGCCGACAGGCGUAGGCGAUGGAUAACAGGUUGAUAUUCCUGUACCACCUAUAAUCGUUUUAAUCGAUGGGGGGACGCAGUAGGAUAGGCGAAGCGUGCGAUUGGAUUGCACGUCUAAGCAGUAAGGCUGAGUAUUAGGCAAAUCCGGUACUCGUUAAGGCUGAGCUGUGAUGGGGAGAAGACAUUGUGUCUUCGAGUCGUUGAUUUCACACUGCCGAGAAAAGCCUCUAGAUAGAAAAUAGGUGCCCGUACCGCAAACCGACACAGGUAGUCAAGAUGAGAAUUCUAAGGUGAGCGAGCGAACUCUCGUUAAGGAACUCGGCAAAAUGACCCCGUAACUUCGGGAGAAGGGGUGCUCUUUAGGGUUAACGCCUAGAAGAGCCGCAGUGAAUAGGCCCAAGCGACUGUUUAUCAAAAACACAGGUCUCUGCUAAACCGUAAGGUGAUGUAUAGGGGCUGACGCCUGCCCGGUGCUGGAAGGUUAAGAGGAGUGGUUAGCUUCUGCGAAGCUACGAAUCGAAGCCCCAGUAAACGGCGGCCGUAACUAUAACGGUCCUAAGGUAGCGAAAUUCCUUGUCGGGUAAGUUCCGACCCGCACGAAAGGCGUAACGAUUUGGGCACUGUCUCAACGAGAGACUCGGUGAAAUCAUAGUACCUGUGAAGAUGCAGGUUACCCGCGACAGGACGGAAAGACCCCGUGGAGCUUUACUGUAGCCUGAUAUUGAAAUUCGGCACAGCUUGUACAGGAUAGGUAGGAGCCUUUGAAACGUGAGCGCUAGCUUACGUGGAGGCGCUGGUGGGAUACUACCCUAGCUGUGUUGGCUUUCUAACCCGCACCACUUAUCGUGGUGGGAGACAGUGUCAGGCGGGCAGUUUGACUGGGGCGGUCGCCUCCUAAAAGGUAACGGAGGCGCUCAAAGGUUCCCUCAGAAUGGUUGGAAAUCAUUCAUAGAGUGUAAAGGCAUAAGGGAGCUUGACUGCGAGACCUACAAGUCGAGCAGGGUCGAAAGACGGACUUAGUGAUCCGGUGGUUCCGCAUGGAAGGGCCAUCG